rnacentral:rRNA from 1 species
GAUGAACGCUGGCGGCGUGCCUAAUACAUGCAAGUCGAGCGAACGGACGAGAAGCUUGCUUCUCUGAUGUUAGCGGCGGACGGGUGAGUAACACGUGGAUAACCUACCUAUAAGACUGGGAUAACUUCGGGAAACCGGAGCUAAUACCGGAUAAUAUUUUGAACCGCAUGGUUCAAAAGUGAAAGACGGUCUUGCUGUCACUUAUAGAUGGAUCCGCGCUGCAUUAGCUAGUUGGUAAGGUAACGGCUACCAAGGCAACGAUGCAUAGCCGACCUGAGAGGGUGAUCGGACACACUGGAACUGAGACACGGUCCAGACUCCUACGGGAGGCAGCAGUAGGGAAUAUUCCGCAAUGGGCGAAAGCCUGACGGAGCAACGCCGCGUGAGUGAUGAAGGUCUUCGGAUCGUAAAACUCUGUUAUUAGGGAAGAACAUAUGUGUAAGUAACUGUGCACAUCUUGACGGUACCUAAUCAGAAAGCCACGGCUAACUACGUG